AUACUUGCUUGGUGCCGGGACCUCGUUGAUCACCGAGGACGAGCCCCCAGGGCAGGGUGCGCGCAUUGCACUGCGCUCGCGUCGACCCCUGCCACUAGCCCAAACUUGGGCAGAUAGCGCAUGCAAAUUGC
rnacentral:snRNA from 1 species